AUUGAACGCUGGCGGCAGGCCUAACACAUGCAAGUCGAACGAGUGGCGGACGGGUGAGUAAUGUCUGGGAAACUGCCUGAUGGAGGGGGAUAACUACUGGAAACGGUAGCUAAUACCGCAUACCAUCGGAUGUGCCCAGAUGGGAUUAGCUAGUAGGUGGGGUAAAGGCUCACCUAGGCGACGAUGCCUAGCUGGUCUGAGAGGAUGAGCAGCCACACUGGAACGGAGACACGGUCCAGACUCCUACGGGAGGCAGCAGUGGGGAAUGUUGCGCAAUGGGCGCAAGCCUGAUGCAGCCAUGCCGCGUGUAUGAAGGAGGCCUUCGGGUUGUAAAGUACUUUCAGCGGUGAGGCGUUACCCGCAGAAGAAGCCCCGGCUAACUCCGUGCCAGCAGCCGCGGUAAUAC
rnacentral:rRNA from 1 species